rnacentral:rRNA from 2 species
GGGGGGGGGGGGGCCAAACAUGCAAGUCGAACGAGUUCUGAUUAUUGAAAGGUGCUUGCAUCUUGAUUUAAUUUUGAACGAGUGGCGGACGGGUGAGUAACACGUGGGUAACCUGCCCUUAAGUGGGGGAUAACAUUUGGAAACAGAUGCUAAUACCGCAUAAAUCCAAGAACCGCAUGGUUCUUGGCUGAAAGAUGGCGUAAGCUAUCGCUUUUGGAUGGACCCGCGGCGUAUUAGCUAGUUGGUGAGGUAACGGCUCACCAAGGCAAUGAUACGUAGCCGAACUGAGAGGUUGAUCGGCCACAUUGGGACUGAGACACGGCCCAAACUCCUACGGGAGGCAGCAGUAGGGAAUCUUCCACAAUGGACGCAAGUCUGAUGGAGCAACGCCGCGUGAGUGAAGAAGGCUUUCGGGUCGUAAAACUCUGUUGUUGGAGAAGAAUGGUCGGCAGGAGUAACUGUUGUCGGCGUGACGGUAUCCAACCAGAAAGCCACGGCUAACUACGUGCCAGCAGCCGCGGUAAUACGUAGGUGGCAAGCGUUAUCCGGAUUUAUUGGGCGUAAAGCGAGCGCAGGCGGUUUUUUAAGUCUGAUGUGAAAGCCCUCGGCUUAACCGAGGAAGUGCAUCGGAAACUGGGAAACUUGAGUGCAGAAGAGGACAGUGGAACUCCAUGUGUAGCGGUGAAAUGCGUAGAUAUAUGGAAGAACACCAGUGGCGAAGGCGGCUGUCUGGUCUGUAACUGACGCUGAGGCUCGAAAGCAUGGGUAGCGAACAGGAUUAGAUACCCUGGUAGUCCAUGCCGUAAACGAUGAAUGCUAGGUGUUGGAGGGUUUCCGCCCUUCAGUGCCGCAGCUAACGCAUUAAGCAUUCCGCCUGGGGAGUACGACCGCAAGGUUGAAACUCAAAGGAAUUGACGGGGGCCCGCACAAGCGGUGGAGCAUGUGGUUUUAUUUCGAAGCAACGCGAAAAAACCUUACCAGGUCUUGACUUCUUUUGAUCACCUGAAAAAAUCAGGUUUCCCCUUCGGGGGCAAAAUGACAGGGUGGUGCAUGGUUGUCCUCACCUCGUGCCGGGAAAUGUUGGGUUAAGUCCCGGCAACGAGCGCCACCCUUUAUGACUAGUUGCCAGCAUUUAGUUGGGCCCUUCUAAUAAAGACUGGCGGUGAACAACCGGAAGGAGGUGGGGGAUGAACUUCAAAUCCUCCUGCCCCUUAAGGACCGGGGCCUACCCCCGGGGCUAGAAGGGGGAUGGUAAAACCAAGUUGCCGAGACCCCGAGGGCAGGUUAUUCUCUUAAAGCCUUUUUCAUUUCGGA